GUGGGGAAUCUUGCGCAAUGGGCGAAAGCCUGACGCAGCCAUGCCGCGUGAAUGAUGAAGGUCUUCGGAUUGUAAACUUCUUUUAUGAGUGAAGAAUAUGACGGUAACUCAUGAAUAAGCACCGGCUAACUACGUGCCAGCAGCCGCGGUCAUACGUAGGGUGCAAGCAUUAUCCGGAGUGACUGGGCGUAAAGAGUUGCGUAGGCGGUUAUGUAAGCGAAUAGUGAAACCUGGUGGCUCAACCACACAGACUAUUAUUCGAACUGCAUAACUCGAGAAUGGUAGAGGUAACUGGAAUUUCUUGUGUAGGAGUGAAAUCCGUAGAUAUAAGAAGGAACACCAAUGGCGUAGGCAGGUUACUGGGCCAUUUCUGACGCUAAGGCACGAAAGCGUGGGGAGCGAACCGGAUUAGAUACCCGUGUAGUCC
rnacentral:rRNA from 1 species